rnacentral:rRNA from 1 species
AUAUCAAUAAGCGGAGGAAAAGAAACUAACAAGGAUUCCCCUAGUAACUGCGAGUGAAGCGGGAAAAGCUCAAAUUUAAAAUCUGGCGGUCUUCGAUCGUCCGAGUUGUAGUCUGGAGAAGCGUCUUCCGCGCUGGACCGUGUACAAGUCUCUUGGAACAGAGCGUCGUAGAGGGUGAGAAUCCCGUCUUUGACACGGACUGCCAGUGCUUUGUGAUGCGCUCUCAAAGAGUCGAGUUGUUUGGGAAUGCAGCUCAAAAUGGGUGGUAAAUUCCAUCUAAAGCUAAAUAUUGGCGAGAGACCGAUAGCGAACAAGUACCGUGAGGGAAAGAUGAAAAGCACUUUGGAAAGAGAGUUAAACAGUACGUGAAAUUGCUGAAAGGGAAACGAUUGAAGUCAGUCGCGUCGUCUAGAACUCAACCUGGCCUCGGCUCGGUGCAUUUUCUAGUUGACGGGCCAGCAUCAGUUUUGACCGUUGGAAAAAGGUCCUUGGAAUGUGGCACCUUCGGGUGUGUUAUAGCCUUGGGUCGUAUACGACGGUUGGGACUGAGGACCGCAGCACGCCUUUAUGGCCGGGGUUCGCCCACGUACGUGCUUAGGAUGCUGGCGUAAUGGCUUUAAACGACCCGUCUUGAAACACGGACCAAGGAGUCUAACAUGCCUGCGAGUGUUUGGGUGGUAAACCCGAGCGCGUAACGAAAGUGAAAGUUGGGAUCCCUGUCGUGGGGAGCACCGACGCCCACACCAGACCUUCUGUGACGGAUGUGCGGUUGAGCAUGUAUGUUGGGACCCGAAAGAUGGUGAACUAUGCCUGAAUAGGGUGAAGCCAGAGGAAACUCUGGUGGAGGCUCGUAGCGAUUCUGACGUGCAAAUCGAUCGUCAAAUUUGGGUAUAGGGGCGAAAGACUAAUCGAACCAUCUAGUAGCUGG